rnacentral:rRNA from 1 species
GACGAACGCUGGCGGCGUGGAUUAGGCAUGCAAGUCGAACGGUAUCAUCCUUUCGGGGGUGAGAGAGUGGCGAACUGGUGAGUAACACGUAGGUUAUCUACCCUCAAGACGGGGACAACCCAGGGAAACUUGGGCUAAUACCGGAUGUGAGCAACUUUUAGUUGUUUGAAAGGUGGCGUAAGCUGUCGCUUGGGGAUGAGCCUGCGUCCUAUUAGUUAGUUGGUGAGGUAACGGCUCACCUAGGCAAUGAUAGGUAGGCGGCCUUAACGGGUGGUCGCCCACACUGGGAUUGAGAUACGGCCCAGACUCCUACGGGAGGCAGCAGUCGAGAAUAGUCUACAAUGGUCGGAAGACUGAUAGUGCGACGCCGCGUGAACGAUGAAUCCCUUCGGGGUUAAAGUUCUUUUAUAUGUGAGCAGUGCUUCUUAUAUUAACAGUAUGGGGAGAGAGAUAUUAGCAUAUGAAUAAGCAACGGCUAACUCCGUGCCAGCAGCCGCGGUAAACA